CUCCUCGUGGGAUCGGAGAUCGGAGAUCGGAGAUCGUGAUCGUCCCAUCUCAUUUCAGUCGCUCUUCCGCUUCGCAAUCCUAGUAAAUCCGUCGCCGAUGACGAGCAAACGUAAGAUUCUUCCCCCCAUCCGUCGCCCCUUCAGCUUUCACUGUGUCCCAGCUGCUGUUUACGCGAAGCAAAAACAGGUUGCCCCCAUACCUUAUUCAGCCAUAACAUCAAAAGCAUCGGAAAUACCUAAUUCUGCCGGUUCAAACUUGAUGAAAUUAGGGAAUCCUAGCUCUAUGAGCAUUGUAAUGACUUUUUAAUUUCUCUUCAAUAAUUUCUCAUUUGAAAAGUGUUAACUUUUCCACGGUCCAUAGGUUGUCAUCAUACUUGAUUCAUCAAAAGCAUCGGAAAUAACCAAUUCUCCCAGUUCAAACUUAAUGGAAUUAGGGAAUCCUAGCUCUAUAAACAUUGUGAUAACUUUAAUUCAUCUUCCAUAAUUUCUCAUUUGAAGUGUUUUAACUUUCCACGGUCUAUAGGUUGCCCCUGUACCUGAUUCUUCGACAACAUCAGAAGCAUUGGAAGUUCCCAUGUCGCCCAGCCCAAACUUGAUGGAAUUAGGGAAUCCUCGCUGUGUUCAUUUGGCGGAUGGACUUAUCAUUCAGUAGGCUGUUGCUGCUGCCGCAGCUGCUCAAUCUCCUAAGAAUGGAGCCAACUUUGAUUGUCUCGUAUCAAGAGAGCUUAACCAAAAUCCAUGCUUGAAGUCGAUCCCAAAUCAUGGCAAAUUAUAUGAAUUUGUGGCUAUGAAGUAUGAUACAAGUAGAAGUGAUAUUGUUUCAUGCAAUUCAUGCUCCACUGAGUCCAGUUACGACAGUUCCAUGUCCUCCGAAUCCUUCGAUGUGCAAAGGGAAUUGCAGGAAAUGAGGGAAGAACAUGGAGAAGAAUUGUCUACAGUUGGAGAUAUUUAAACACUUAACAUCUCAAGAACAUUCUGUGUCUAUAUUGCGUUGUUUUCGGUUUUUUGUUUUUUGGCUUCACAUUCCAUCCACUAAAUAAAUUCAUGAAGCGUGGUAACUGCUGACCAGCAGUACAAUUGUUAUAGGUGUGUCUUGUAUGAAAAUUGAACCCCGGUUAUUUAGGAAUGUAUUCGGCCUCUUACCCUCACAUCAUGCACUGGGGGCUGCUCUGUGUGUAGUUGUGUACAUAUAUAUUUGAGCGUUGGAAAUGGUUAUUGCAUGUCAAGUUGAACAAUGUUUGUGUUGGAAGAGGUUAUAAAAUUUGAAUCUUAGAUUCAAAUUCUUUGGA